rnacentral:rRNA from 1 species
UACAGAGGGGGCUAGCGUUGCUCGGAAUCACUGGGCGUAAAGCGCACGUAGGCGGCUUUCUAAGUCAGGGGUGAAAUCCUGGAGCUCAACUCCAGAACUGCCUUUGAUACUGGAGAGCUUGAGUCCGGAAGAGGUGAGUGGAACUCCGAGUGUAGAGGUGAAAUUCGUAGAUAUUCGGAAGAACACCAGUGGCGAAGGCGGCUCACUGGUCCGGUACUGACGCUGAUGUGCGAAAGCGUGGGGAGCAAACAGG